UAACAUCAGAUGAUAUAUAAUCACGACAUCGUGGAAAUAUCAAAUCUUCGGAGCCUUGGGAUGAGCCUGCGUCUGAUUAGGUAGUUGGCGGAGUAAUAGCCCACCAAGCCUACGAUCAGUAGCUGGUCUGAGAGGAUGAUCAGCCACACUGGAACUGAGACACGGUCCAGACUCCUACGGGAGGCAGCAGUAAGGAAUAUUGCUCAAUGGGGGGAAACCCUGAAGCAGCAACGCCGCGUGAAGGAUGAAAUACUUUUGUAUGUAAACUUCUGUAAGAUGGGAAAAAUAUUCUCCUCGGGAGAAUUGAUUGUACCAUCAGAGUAAGCCCCGGCUAACUACGUG
rnacentral:rRNA from 1 species